UCCUAAACCCGACAGCAGCGGUAGCGCCCGAUUGAAAAGAGGGACUAUAGCGAAUGGCGGGACUGAAG
rnacentral:sRNA from 1 species